AUUGAACGCUGGCGGCAGGCCUAACACAUGCAAGUCGAGCGGUAACACAGGGAGCUUGCUCCUGGGUGACGAGCGGCGGACGGGUGAGUAAUGUCCGGGAAACUGCCUGAUGGAGGGGGAUAACUACUGGAAACGGUAGCUAAUACCGCAUAACGUCGCAAGACCAAAGAGGGGGACCUUCGGGCCUCUUGCCAUCAGAUGUGCCCAGAUGGGAUUAGCUAGUAGGUGGGGUAACGGCUCACCUAGGCGACGAUCCCUAGCUGGUCUGAGAGGAUGACCAGCCACACUGGAACUGAGACACGGUCCAGACUCCUACGGGAGGCAGCAGUGGGGAAUAUUGCACAAUGGGCGCAAGCCUGAUGCGGCCAUGCCGCGUGUAUGAAGAAGGCCUUCGGGUUGUAAAGUACUUUCAGCGGGGAGGAAGGCGACAAGGUUAAUAACCUUGUCGAUUGACGUUACCCGCAGAAGAAGCACCGGCUAACUCCGUGCCAGCCGCCGCGGUAA
rnacentral:rRNA from 1 species